GCCGGUCUGCCGCUCGCUCAUUGGGCGUGAGGAAAGUCCGGGCAACGCAGAGCACCAUACUUCCUAACGGGAAGCUGUCCGUAAGGGUGGAGUAGCGUAACAGAGAAUGACCGCCGGUCUUUGCCGGUAAGGGUGAAAAGGCGAGGUAAGAGCUCACCGGUUUCUUAGUGAUAGGAGAUGCUGUACGCCUUAUGGGUUGUAAGGUCAUGUAUAUCGGCGUAGUAGGGCGGCUCGUCCGAUGCCGAGGGGUAGACCGCUAAAGCUUGCCGGCAACGGUAAGACAAGAUAAAUGGCAGACACUUUCUUUUCCGAAAGGAGAGUAAGUACAGGACCCGGCUUACAGGUAGGCUGC
rnacentral:RNase_P_RNA from 1 species